UUAUUAUGUUUAGGAUUCACAAAAUAUGCUGGAUCUAGAGUAUGGUCUCAUUCUGGAUUAUUGUUUAUCACAUGACCCUAAUUCCUAGCUUUUAAUUGGCUAAUUUCAAAUUCCCAUAAUUCCCAAGCACCAAUAUGAGCACCCCAGUAGAAACACUUUAGCACAGCACAGCACCCAGGCAACAAGGCAACAAGGUCUACUACACAGCAUCAAACAGGUCACAUAUGUAUCAGCUCAACACGGAUUAAUCCGUAAGGCUCUAUUCCACAAAUGGGGCUUGAAGUAUGAUAUAUAGUAUCUGAAUAAACCGCACCUCACCCCUACAGCGAGUCAUGUGAUCCUUUGACAUUACUUGGCGUUUAACCAGCU